CCAGAGGGCCGGGCGGCCGCGUCGGACCCCCGCUUUCGCGGGGGUUCGCCGAGGAAAGUCCGGGCUCCGCGGAAACAACGGUGCCGGGUAACGCCCGGCGGCUUCGGCAAUUGCCGGGGUCAGGGAUAGUGCCACAGAAAGCAGGCUGCCUGUCUUCGGGCGGGUCAAGGCGAAAGGGUGCGGCAAGAGCGCACCGCGGCGGCGGCAACGUCUCCGGCAUGGCAAACCCCACCGGGUGCAAGACCGAAUAGGGGCGGCAAAUGGGCUUGUUCCGGCCCGCCGCCCGGGAUGGUUGCGUGAGGGGCGGGGCGACCCGUCUCCUAGUGGAAUGGCCGCCCAUCCUCCGUUCGCGGAGGUGGACAGAACCCGGCUUACAGGCCCUCUGGCACC
rnacentral:RNase_P_RNA from 1 species